GCCGGGUUAGCUCAGUUGGUAGAGCAUCAGACUUUUAAUCUGAGGGCCAUGGGUUCGAGUCCCAUAUCGGGCU
rnacentral:tRNA from 1 species